UACGUAGGGCGCAAGCGUUAUCCGGAAUUAUUGGGCGUAAAGAGCUCGUAGGCGGCUUGUCGCGUCGAAUGUGAAAUCCUGCGGCUCAACUGCAGGCUUGCAUUCGAUACGGGCAGGCUCGAGUUCGGUAGGGGAGACUGGAAUUCCUGGUGUAGCGGUGAAAUGCGCAGAUAUCAGGAGGAACACCGGUGGCGAAGGCGGUUCUCUGGGCAUUACCUGACGCUGAGGAGCGAAAGUGUGGGGAGCGAACAGG
rnacentral:rRNA from 1 species